rnacentral:rRNA from 1 species
AGUGGCGGACGGGUGAGUAACGCGUGGGUAACCUGCCUCAUACAGGGGGAUAACAGUUGGAAACGACUGCUAAUACCGCAUAACAAACAGAAACGGCAUCGUUUCUGUUUCAAACUUUUUUGGGUAUGAGAUGGGCCCGCGUCUGAUUAGCUAGUUGGUGGGGUAACGGCCUACCAAGGCGACGAUCAGUAGCCGGCUUGAGAGAGUGAACGGCCACAUUGGAACUGAGACACGGUCCAAACUCCUACGGGAGGCAGCAGUAAGGAGUCUUCGGCAAUGGGGGAAACCCUGACCGAGCAACGCCGCGUGAGUGAUGACGGCCCUAUGGGUUGUAAAGCUCUGUUGUAAGGGACGAAUGAUUAGCUUAGGAAAUGAAGCUAUUUUGACAGUACCUUACCAGAAAGCCACGGCUAACUACGUGCCAGCAGCCGCGGUAAUACGUAGGUGGCAAGCGUUAUCCGGAAUUAUUGGGCGUAAAGAGGGAGCAGGCGACAAGAUAAGUUUGAAGUGAAAGCGUGGGGCUCAACCCCAUACAGCUUCGAAAACUGUCUAGUUAGAGUACGGGAGAAGUGAAUGGAACUCCAUGUGUAGCGGUGAAAUGCGUAGAUAUAUGGAAGAACACCAGUGGCGAAGGCGAUUCACUAGCCCGAAACUGACGCUCAGUCCCGAAAGCGUGGGUAGCAAAUAGGAUUAGAUACCCUAGUAGUCCACGCCGUAAACGAUGAGAACUAAAUAUUGCCGCGAGGCAGUGUUGAAGCUAACGCAUUAAGUUCUCCGCCUGGGGAGUACGAUCGCAAGAUUGAAACUUAAAGGAAUUGACGGGGACCCGCACAAGCAGUGGAGCAUGUGGUUUAAUUCGACGCAACGCGAAGAACCUUACCAGGGCUUGACAUAUUGAUUACUACCCCCUAAGAGAUUAGGGGAGACUAUAAAUACAGGUGGUGCAUGGUUGUCGUCAGCUCGUGUCGUGAGAUGUUAGGUUAAGUCCUGCAACGAGCGCAACCCCUCUCCUUAGUUGCCAUCAUUCAGUUGGGAACUCUAGGGAUACAGCCGGCGUAAGUCGGAGGAAGGUGGGGAUGACGUCAAAUCAUCAUGCCCUUUAUGUCCUGGGCGACACACGUGCUACAAUGGUCGGUACAAAGAGAUGCAAUCCCGCAAGGGGGAGCCAAUCCCAUAAAGCCGAUCUCAGUUCGGAUUGAAGUCUGCAACUCGACUUCAUGAAGCUGGAAUUGCUAGUAAUCGCGAAUCAGCCAUGUCGCGGUGAAUACGUUCCCGGGUCUUGCACACACCGCCCGUCA